GGAGGGAUCAUUACAGAGUUAUCCAACUCCCAAACCCAUGUGAACUUAUCUCUUUGUUGCCUCGGCGCAAGCUACCCGGGACCUCGCGCCCCGGGCGGCCCGCCGGCGGACAAACCAAAACUCUUGUUAUCUUAGUUGAUUAUCUGAGUGUCUUAUUUAAUAAGUCAAAACUUUCAACAACGGAUCUCUUGGUUCUGGCAUCGAUGAAGAACGCAGCGAAAUGCGAUAAGUAAUGUGAAUUGCAGAAUUCAGUGAAUCAUCGAAUCUUUGAACGCACAUUGCGCCCAUUAGUAUUCUAGUGGGCAUGCCUGUUCGAGCGUCAUUUCAACCCCUAAGCACAGCUUAUUGUUGGGAACCUACGGCUUCGUAGUUCCUCAAAGACAUUGGCGGAGUGGCAGUGGUCCUCUGAGCGUAGUAAUCUUUUAUCUCGCUUCUGUUAGGUGCUGCCCCCCCGGCCGUAAAACCCCCAAUUUUUUCUGGUUGACCUCGGAUCAGGUAGGAAUACCCGCUGAACUUAAGCA
rnacentral:rRNA from 1 species